rnacentral:rRNA from 1 species
AUUGAACGCUGGCGGCAGGCCUAACACAUGCAAGUAGAACGAGUGGCGGACGGGUGAGUAAUGCUUGGGAAUCUAGCUUAUGGAGGGGGAUAACUACGGGAAACUGUAGCUAAUACCGCGUAGCAUAGGAUGAGCCGAAGGGGGAUUAGGUAGUUGGUGAGGUAAAGGCUAACCAAGCGGACGAUCUCUAGCGGGUCUGAGAGGAUGAACAGCCACACGUGGACUACGACACGGCCCAGACUCCUACGGGAGGCAGCAGUGGGGAAUAUUGCACAAUUGGGGCAACCUGACGCAGCCAUGCCGCGUGAAUGAAGAAGGCCUUCGGGUUUUAAAGUUCUUUCGGUAGCGAGGCGUUAACUACAGAAGAAGCACCGGCUAACUCCGUGCCAGCAGCCGCGGUAAUAC